UGCCGCACAAGUUUCCGCGGGGUAGCGGCGCGCCGGGCCCCGCCGACACCUCUCGCUUCCCCGCCCGGCCCCGAGGAGCUCCGCUGACGGCCGCCGGGGCGGGCUGGAAGCGCGCGGCCGGAGAUGAAAGACCGGGCGUGGGCCGCAGGUCGCCGGAGCUCCGGCUGGGCGCUGCCCGCCCCUGGGCCUUUCAGCGAGGAGGUGGCCGAGGGGGCAAAUCGCCGGGGGACUUUGCCCUAAUAACGCGUUAAAAAGUAACCUCGGGCGGAACGGCUGCGAGUCUUUCUCGGUUUCUUCUAGGAGAACUUGAAUUUAAACUUCGCAGCUGGCCGCUACUGCGGCGCUGCCUCGCCCCGCCGUGGGCCAGCAGAGAUAAGCGCGAGGAAUCCAUCGCCCCGGGCUGCCGUGCGAGCGGCGCCGCGAGGGCGCGGGGAUGGGACCGGGGGCAGGGCAGGGACCGCCGCGACCGAGGCUGGAAAACGUGCUCAGAACCAGCAGUUCUGGGAUGAUGCGGGGCAAUAAACCGCGCUCGGCCAUCGGCGGGGGAAGUGGCGGACAAUGCCUGAAGGCCGGCUCGCUCCGUAAUUACCUGCUUCGGGUUUUCUCAUCUCUUCCAUUAAUUUAUCUAGAGCUGGUCGCUGUCAGCGACAGGAUAUUCGCUUUAAGGCACGGCUUCCUCGGCCCGCACAGCUGCCCGAAAAGUAGACCUGCCUUUCCUGCAGGGCCUAGGGCCCGCGAUGCUGAUCUUAUGCCACUGAUCUCAAGGGGAAAGUGAGCCCGGAGCAGGGCCCGCAGCCAGGGCAGGGGGUGGGAGUGAGGGUAGGAGGCAUCUCUAGCAGCAGCACGGACUUGAAUUAGUUUAAGUAAAGCUGUGUGUCUACCAAGCUGUGUUCUAAUGCAGCACUUUGUAGUCUUCGUGCUCAGCCAUGUAUGUGCCUGGGUUCCUAUUGCUGAUGUCUCCUUUCUCUCUUCUCUGUCCCUUCAUGAUCUAUUCAGAAACUUCUUAGGAGUGGUGAGGCAUUGGCACAGGCUGCCCAGGGAGGUGGUUGAGUCACCGUUCCUGGAAGUCUUCAGGAAACGUGGCGAUGUGGCACUGAGGGAUGUGGUCAGUGGCAUGGAGGGGAUGGGUUGGUGGUGGCACUGGAUGAUCUUGUGGUCUUUUCCAGCUUAAUGAUUCUAUGAUUUCUCACCCUGCAUAUCAAUGAAGUCACCCAUUACCAGCCAAAACACUCAGGUUGAGCACUGAUAGCAGUCAGUCAGUCCGGAGGUGCUAUCUCCUCACUUUCCUGUCAGCUUGGCUUCUUCCAGGUCUUCCUAAAAAUUUGGCAUCUGCCAUACUGGAAGGCAGCAUAGCUUUUGAAAACAACUGAUAGAGUUUAACAAGAGUAGAUGUGAAUGUGUCAAUUCUUUAGCCCGCUUGUUGGAACUGGAAAGCUCCCCAAUAUUCAAGAUAGUUUUAAGCAUAAUGCCAAGUUACUUGAAUGCAACUAAGAGUUUUUAAAACUCUUGCUUUAGACCAAUGAUCUUCGUGUUAUGUGGCUUGCUAAGACCAGAGCCUUGCUGAAAAGAAGUCCCACUAGAGAUGUGCUGGAUUGUCCAAACCCAGCUUCCAGAGCUUUAGGGUGUAAUGCUCCUAGCUAUGAUCGUGAUCAUAGUAAAGGUUUUUAGAGACUUGAGUGCACCACUACAUGGGAUUUUUGUUUUCCAGCUACAAAGGUGUUCUAAAUGUUACCCGUUGGCACACUUGACCAACUCUCAGCAACAAAAGGCAUUAUGUACACAGCCUGUUUGCUUAGUCACAGCCUCAGAACUGAUCAUGUGUGGGUGGACCAUCAAGCUCACAAACAGGACCAAGAAGGCAAUAAGCUGCCAAGGGAGCUUCUGUCUGUGCCAGAUCUGUUGCAAGUCCUGGCUCCAGUUUAUGACAACAAGGCAUGAUGUUCACCUGUCCAUGAAGCAUCAUUUCUACUGAUGAUAAUGAAAGAUUUCCAUUGUAGUUUUCUCCUGCUGCAACAAAAACUGAUGGAGAAAGUACAUCUAAGUUCUUUGUAACAUAUAUUCCAGUAAGAACUCAUUCUUCAAGCAGAAUUCAGUUUUUGAGCCUACUAAUUUUGACAGUGUUUCCUGUUUUGUUUUUUUUUUUCAGAUGUGGCACUGAGUCAAAGAAUUCACAUGAAGGUACAAGCAGAUGAGAUACCUUUUAAUUUUGAUUUACAUGGUGCUUGCAAUAAUAUAUGCAAAUCCUAUUAUGUGUUUUCCAAGACUGAUGUUUAAAAAUUAAUUGGUUUCCCUAUCUUAAUAUACAGGUAUAUUUUUUAAAAUGAAUUUUAAAGUAGUCCAGAUGAUCUCAGCUUGUAGAUCAGUCACUUCAGUAUAGUACAUUCUAGUCAGAACUAAAAGACUCAACAUAUGUAACCUUACAGAUUGCAUGACACUCACUGUGCUUUAUGAAUGUAAGAUAAAAUCUGCUAAUUUUUCAGGCCUAUGUUUUAUUUACAACAGCACCAACAAGCACAGAUUUUCCUUCUAAAGCACAGCAAUCAAUGUGUUGUCACUUGAGAUACCGCUGUCUGGUCAAACACUACCUACCUGGUAAUCAGUGUCAUGUACCCACUAAGACUUCCAGAACCUUUAAAAGGAGAAGUAAGUCGUCUUCAGACAUGUCCUCUCCAUGACUACUGUCCUGUAUUGCAACAUGGACCAGCAUGGUCAGAGGUUUGAGACACAAGCAUUACGGACACACCACUGUCAGGAGUGAGGAGGCUGCAGAUUACAGAUUCUUGGACAAACUCAGGAAUAUGCCGUGAUGAAUCACUCAGCAGUACUUGACUUCAGAGGGCAGGCAACCCAUUGGGCUUAUAUUCUCAGGGCACCUCUGCCUUGCAAGUAGUAUGGCUGCAGCAUCACCUGGGCCAGGUGCUGAUCCAAAACCCACCCAGAGGCCUUCUGAUUAAGAACUGGGUCAUGGAGAAAGGGAGUGACUGGAAGAUUCAGGAUGCUGUGUACCUUUUCAAGGAAAAACAACACCGCUCCACCUUGCAGCUUCCUCACCCCAUGACUUUGGGUUGCUGACCUUCCCACUGACUCCUGACUGUGAAGGUGAUCCAAAUCUGAAUCAAGAUGGGUAGGGAAAUGGAAGCAGCUGCAACUCCCUGGACAUGCAUAGAUAGAACAGUCUUGUAGGCUCUGCUGUGUCAGACCAGCUGAAGGCUGCCUGCAAACUGUUUGCUGAGACAAUACACUUUAUUCACCUAGUAUGUCAAAGCUCUCAUUUUCUUCCUUUUUUCUUCCAAGAAAAAUCCACAAGUAGUAUGUGGAUUUCUUUUCUCGGCAAGCCAAAACAAGAGCAGAAACAAAAGAAGCAUAAAUCUGAAGAUAUCUGAAGGUCAUAGCUGAAAGGCAAUCAAUGCAAAGCGACCCUUGGAACCAAAAUCUUAUCCAGAAUAUCCCAGCCAUAAUAUAAAAUGUUUACCUUGAAUGAAGUGACGAUAAAGACUUUACCUCAUUUUCAAAAGUGUUGUUUUUUUGUGAAAUAAAUAUUUGAGGAAAUAAAAAACCAAAUAACUGAUCACCAGCGUAUUCUUUUUAGAACACAUCAGAUCUAAAAAGCUUGUAGGAAUCU